GUAAAAAAUUUAUAAGAAUAUGAUGUUGGUUCAGAUUAAGCGCUAAAUAAGGACAUGACACAUGCGAAUCAUACGUUUAUUAUUGAUAAGAUAAUAAAUAUGUGGUGUAAACGUGAGUAAUUUUAUUAGGAAUUAAUGAACUAUAGAAUAAGCUAAAUACUUAAUAUAUUAUUAUAUAAAAAUAAUUUAUAUAAUAAAAAGGAUAUAUAUAUAAUAUAUAUUUAUCUAUAGUCAAGCCAAUAAUGGUUUAGGUAGUAGGUUUAUUAAGAGUUAAACCUAGCCAACGAUCCAUAAUCGAUAAUGAAAGUUAGAACGAUCACGUUGACUCUGAAAUAUAGUCAAUAUCUAUAAGAUACAGCAGUGAGGAAUAUUGGACAAUGAUCGAAAGAUUGAUCCAGUUACUUAUUAGGAUGAUAUAUAAAAAUAUUUUAUUUUAUUUAGUUCCGGGGCCCGGCCACGGGAGCCGGAACCCCGAAAGGAGAAAUAUUAAAUAUUUAUAAUAAUAAUAAUAAUAAUAUAUAUAUAUAAAUUGAUUAAAAAUAAAAUCCAUAAAUAAUUAAAAUAAUGAUAUUAAUUACCAUAUAUAUUUUAUAUGGAUAUAUAUAUUAAUAAUAAUAUUAAUUUAUUAUUAUUAAUAAUAUAUUUUAAUAGUCCUGACUAAUAUUUGUGCCAGCAGUCGCGGUAACACAAAGAGGGCGAGCGUUAAUCAUAAUGGUUUAAAGGAUCCGUAGAAUGAAUUAUAUAUUAUAAUUUAGAGUUAAUAAAAUUAAUUAAAGAAUUAUAAUAGUAAAGAUGAAAUAAUAAUAAUAAUUAUAAGACUAAUAUAUGUGAAAAUAUUAAUUAAAUAUUAACUGACAUUGAGGGAUUAAAACUAGAGUAGCGAAACGGAUUCGAUACCCGUGUAGUUCUAGUAGUAAACUAUGAAUACAAUUAUUUAUAAUAUAUAUUAUAUAUAAAUAAUAAAUGAAAAUGAAAGUAUUCCACCUGAAGAGUACGUUAGCAAUAAUGAAACUCAAAACAAUAGACGGUUACAGACUUAAGCAGUGGAGCAUGUUAUUUAAUUCGAUAAUCCACGACUAACCUUACCAUAUUUUGAAUAUUAUAAUAAUUAUUAUAAUUAUUAUAUUACAGGCGUUACAUUGUUGUCUUUAGUUCGUGCUGCAAAGUUUUAGAUUAAGUUCAUAAACGAACAAAACUCCAUAUAUAUAAUUUUAAUUAUAUAUAAUUUUAUAUUAUUUAUUAAUAUAAAGAAAGGAAUUAAGACAAAUCAUAAUGAUCCUUAUAAUAUGGGUAAUAGACGUGCUAUAAUAAAAUGAUAAUAAAAUUAUAUAAAAUAUAUUUAAUUAUAUUUAAUUAAUAAUAUAAAACAUUUUAAUUUUUAAUAUAUUUUUUUAUUAUAUAUUAAUAUGAAUUAUAAUCUGAAAUUCGAUUAUAUGAAAAAAGAAUUGCUAGUAAUACGUAAAUUAGUAUGUUACGGUGAAUAUUCUAACUGUUUCGCACUAAUCACUCAUCACGCGUUGAAACAUAUUAUUAUCUUAUUAUUUAUAUAAUAUUUUUUAAUAAAUAUUAAUAAUUAUUAAUUUAUAUUUAUUUAUAUCAGAAAUAAUAUGAAUUAAUGCGAAGUUGAAAUACAGUUACCGUAGGGGAACCUGCGGUGGGCUUAUAAAUAUCUUAAAUAUUCUUACA
rnacentral:ncRNA from 3 species